rnacentral:rRNA from 1 species
GACAGAGGUCUCGAGCGUUAGGCGGAAUCACUGGGCUUAAAGCGUGUGUAGGUGGAUGCCUAAGUACUUUGUGAAAUCCCACGGCUUAACCGUGGAACUGCUUGGUAUACUGGGUGUCUUGAGCCAGCUAGGGGCUACCGGAACAAAUGGUGGAGCGGUGAAAUGCGUAGAUAUCAUUUGGAACGCCAAUGGUGAAAACAGGUAGCUGGGGCUGUGCUGACGCUGAGACACGAAAGCCAGGGGAGCAAACGGG